rnacentral:rRNA from 1 species
AGGAACGCCGGGGAGUACGACCGCAAGGUUAAAAAUCAAAUGAAUUGUCGGGGGGCCGCACAAGCGGUGGAGCAUGUGGUUUAAUUCGAUGCAACGCGAAGAACCUUACCUACUCUUGACAUCCAGAGAACUUUCCAGAGAUGGAUUGGUGCCUUCGGGAACUCUGAGACAGGUGCUGCAUGGCUGUCGUCAGCUCGUGUUGUGAAAUGUUGGGUUAAGUCCCGCAACGAGCGCAACCCUUAUCCUUUGUUGCCAGCGGUCAGGCCGGGAACUCAAAGGAGACUGCCAGUGAUAAACUGGAGGAAGGUGGGGAUGACGUCAAGUCAUCAUGGCCCUUACGAGUAGGGCUACACACGUGCUACAAUGGCGCAUACAAAGAGAAGCGACCUCGCGAGAGCAAGCGGACCUCAUAAAGUGCGUCGUAGUCCGGAUUGGAGUCUGCAACUCGACUCCAUGAAGUCGGAAUCGCUAGUAAUCGUAGAUCAGAAUGCUACGGUGAAUACGUUCCCGGGCCUUGUACACACCGCCCGUCACACCAUGGGAGUGGGUUGCGAAAAGAAGUAGGUAGCU